UAAGUCUGAGAGAAUAAGAGAGGAGGAGGAGGAGGAGGAGAAGUAUCACACACACACACACACACACACACACACACACGAGUGGUGGUGGUGGUGGUAGCGGCUGAGUCCUCCCCCGAACUUUCUGUCAGUUCUCACUUGUGGCUCAGACAGGCAGGAGGUGGUGGCGAGACACGCGUCCGCUCCGAUCCUCCUUCACACGCCCACAGCCUCAGAUCCUCCUUAUAAGCGAUUCGAUCCUUUAUACUCACCCUCAUAUGGGAUUAACGUGUCUGUGAAGAAAACGGAACAAAUUUAAGGCAAACUUUGAAAAAACGUGAUUCCAGAGAGAGAGAGAGAGAGAGAGAGAGAGAGUGUUUGACCUUGUCCUGUUUCUAUUAAAGCAAAAAAAGACAAACAAAUAAGACGAAG